rnacentral:rRNA from 1 species
UACGUAGGGUGCGAGCGUUAAUCGGAAUUACUGGGCGUAAAGCGUGCGCAGGCGGCUUUGCAAGACAGAUGUGAAAUCCCCGGGCUUAACCUGGGAACUGCAUUUGUGACUGCAUGGCUGGAGUGCGGCAGAGGGGGAUGGAAUUCCGCGUGUAGCAGUGAAAUGCGUAGAUAUGCGGAGGAACACCGAUGGCGAAGGCAGUCCCCUGGGCCUGUACUGACGCUCAUGCACGAAAGCGUGGGGAGCAAACAGG